rnacentral:rRNA from 1 species
GUCCGAGGAUGAGGCCUUCGGGCUCGACCUCCAACCCUUUGUGAACACAACUUGUUGCUUCGGGGGCGACCCUGCCGUUUCGACGGCGAGCGCCCCCGGAGGCCUUCAAACACUGCAUCUUUGCGUCGGAGUUUAAGUAAAUUAAACAAAACUUUCAACAACGGAUCUCUUGGUUCUGGCAUCGAUGAAGAACGCAGCGAAAUGCGAUAAGUAAUGUGAAUUGCAGAAUUCAGUGAAUCAUCGAAUCUUUGAACGCACAUUGCGCCCCUUGGUAUUCCGAGGGGCAUGCCUGUUCGAGCGUCAUUUCACCACUCAAGCCUCGCUUGGUAUUGGGCGCCGCGGUGUUCCGCGCGCCUCAAAGUCUCCGGCUGAGCUGUCCGUCUCUAAGCGUUGUGAUUUCAUUAAUCGCUUCGGAGCGCGGGCGGUCGCGGCCGUUAAAUCUUUCACAAGGUUGACCUCGGAUCAGGUAGGGAUACCCGCUGAACUUAAGCAUAUCAAAAGCCGGAGGAAACUGAACUUAAGCAUAUCAAUAAGGCGGAAGAGAAUACGAAUUUUUUUCACGUAUUAG